rnacentral:rRNA from 1 species
GACGAACGCUGGCGGCGUGCCUAAUACAUGCAAGUCGAACGCAGUGGGGACGGUUGAGUAACACGUGGGUAACCUCCCAUCAGAGGGGAAAACACUUGGAAACAGGUGCUAAACCGAUAUUGAUGGCUGGACCCUCGGUGGAUUAGCUAGUUGGUGAGGUAACGGCUCACCAAGGCCACGAUCCAUAGCCGGUCUGAGAGGAUGAUCAGCCACACUGGGACGGAGACACGGCCCAGACUCCUACGGGAGGCAGCAGUAGGGAAUCUUGCGCAAUGGACGAAAGUCUGACCGAGCAAUGCCGCGUGAGUGAAGAAGGCUUUCGGAUCGUAAAACACUUUUGGUAGAGAAGCGGUAUCGAACGAGAAAGCCACGGCUAACUACGUGCCAGCAGCCGCGGUAAUUC